rnacentral:lncRNA from 1 species
CUAAAGGAGAAUCACCAGUCCUAAAACACACAACACUAAACAACUUUUUUUAAAAAGUCUCGCAGCUUAUCCUAAACACGUUUUAGCAGUCACCACAUACCAAAAAGAGUGUAAUUGUGCAGUCUUUUGUCAAGGGGAGAAAAGGGAGUAAGAGAGGAUAACAGUCACAAUAACUCCACUAGCCAAGGAAAUAUCAAUAGGUCUAUCUCUUUCCUCAACUCACUUCGACUCACUGUUAUGUUUUUUUCCAUUGCUAAAAGCCAUUGUUAUAUACACAUAUUUCAGAUUAUGUUAAUUUGACAUUGCUUGUAUCAUUUUCAUUAUAUUACUCCAUGCUUAUUAAUCCUAUGGUAUGAACUAAACCACAAGUCAAAGGGAAUGGAGGUACUGAACUCACUAGAAGGGUACUCUUGCACGAAAUGCUUCUAGAUAUGGUGGAAAUACCACCGGAAGUCAUCCGUCUGCGGCGCUCCCAGGCCAGCAUCGUGGUUGGCCUCAAUUUAUGCUCUUCAGUGGCAUGCAGGACGUGUUCAGGCUAUUUCAGCCGUCUCCGACUAUCUUGUUCAGCCUUGGAGGAGUGACUUAGCCCAUUGGGGCACCGCCGUCAACCCUGGCUGUGAACAACAGUGACCAGGGUGGUUCUUCUUCUCUUUUCCUUCUUCCAGCGGUUGGGGUACAUUUGGGGAUGAUAUCUUCCCCCUUUCCUUUAACCCACUUCGUUUUUAUCCUUUCAUUUACUUUUUACUUAUUUAUUUAUUGCUUUGUUUUAUUCAUUUUAUUUACUCUUCAUUGAAUAUAUAUUUGUUUAACCUCCACUCACCUAUUUUAUACAUAUAUAUUUUUUAUUUCCAAC